rnacentral:lncRNA from 1 species
AUGGAGAAAAUGGGUAGAGCAGAGCUAAAUGUGUGUGUGUGUGUGUGUGUGUGUGUGUGUGUGUGUAUGUAUGAUGGGGGGAAGCCAGAAGGGCAAGAGCCAGACACUCCAGACAACUUGAACCACCGAGACCAAAGCAGCAGAGGCAAGACUGUCAACUGGAAAUCAAACCAAGAGUCUAGAAUGGAACAAGAGACUGGAUUGAAGAAGUCAAACAUCUGCUGUCCUCCAAAACUUAAUCCUCAAUGACAGAAAUUCUAGAAGAUAGGCUGAAGCCAUCCUUGUCCUAGGGCUUGUUGGGGCUCCACAGAAGAAAAAAAGCCCUUGGAGGGGCGGAGCAAGAUGGCCGAAUAGGAACAGCUCCAGUCUCCAACUCCCAGCGGCGGCCACAGAAGACCGGUGAUUUCUGCAUUUUCAACUGAGGUACUGGGUUCAUCUCACUGGGGAGUGCCGGACGAUCGGUGCUGGUCAGCUGCUGCAGCCCAACCAGCGAGAGCUGAAGCAGGCGAGGCAUUGCCUCACCUGGGAAGCGCAAAGGGGAAGGGAAUCCCUUUUCCUAGCCAGGGGAACUGAGACACACAACACCUGGAAAAUCGGGUAACUCCCACCCCAAUACUGCGCUUUAAGCAAACAGGCACACCAGGAGAUCAUAUCCCACACCUGGCCGGGAGGGUCCCACACCCACGGAGCCUCCCUCAUUGCUAGCACAGCACUCUGUGAUCUACCGGCAAGGCAGCAGUGAGGCUGGGGGAGGGGCGCCCGCCAUUGCUGAGGCUUAAGUAGGUAAACAAAGCUGCUGGGAAGCUCGAACUGGGUGGAGCUCACAGCAGCUCAAGGAAACCUGCCUGUCUCCGUAGACUCCUCUGGGGACAGGGCACAACUAAACAACAGCAAAAGCAGCAGAAACCUCUGCAGACGCAAACGAAUCUGUCUGACAGCUUGAAGAGAGCAGUGGAUCUCCCAACACAGAAGUUGAGAUCUGAGAAGGGACAGACUGCCUGUUCAAGUGGGUCCCUGACCCCUGAGUAGCCUAACUGGGAGACAUCCCCCACUAGGGGCAGUCUGACACCCCACACCUCACUGGGUGGAGUACACCCCUGAGAGGAAGCUUCCAAAGCAAGAAUCAAACAGGUACACUAGCUGUUCAGCAAUAUUCUAUCUUCUGCAGCCUCUGCUGCUGAUACCCAGGCAAACAGGGUCUGGAGUGGACCUCAAGCAAUCUCCAACAGACCUACAGCUGAGGGUCCUGACUGUUAGAAGGAAAACUAUCAAACAGGAAGGACACCUACACCAAAACCCCAUCAGUACAUCACCAUCAUCAAAGACCAGAGGCAGAU